rnacentral:rRNA from 1 species
AGAGUUUGAUCCUGGCUCAGAAUCAACGCUGGCGGCGUGCCUCAGACAUGCAAGUCGAACGCGAAAGGCCCCUUCGGGGGCCGAGUAGAGUGGCGCACGGGUGAGUAACACGUAGGUAAUCUACCUCUGGGUGGGGAAUAACGACCGGAAACGGUCGCUAAUACCGCAUAAUGCAGCGGCACCACAUGGUGACAGUUGUUAAAGCGGGGGAUCGUAAGACCUCGCGCCUAGAGAUGAGCCUGCGGCGGAUUAGCUAGUUGGCAGGGUAACGGCCUACCAAGGCGACGAUCCGUAGCCGGCCUGAGAGGGCGGACGGCCACACUGGCACUGACAUACGGGCCAGACUCCUACGGGAGGCAGCAGUCGGGAAUUUUGGGCAAUGGGCGAAAGCCUGACCCAGCAACGCCGCGUGAAGGAUGA